CUCGUAGGCGGUUCGUCGCGUCCGGUGUGAAAGUCCAUCGCUUAACGGUGGAUCCGCGCCGGGUACGGGCGGGCUUGAGUGCGGUAGGGGAGACUGGAAUUCCCGGUGUAACGGUGGAAUGUGUAGAUAUCGGGAAGAACACCGGAGGCGAAGGCGGCCCGCUGGACAAAUACUGACGCUGAGGCGCGAAAGCGUGGGGAGCAAACA
rnacentral:rRNA from 1 species